rnacentral:rRNA from 1 species
ACAUAGGGGGCAAGCGUUAUCCGGAAUUAUUGGGCGUAAAGCGUGCGUAGGCGGUUUAUUAAGUCUGAUGUGAAAUCCCAUAGCUUAACUAUGGAGGGUCAUUGGAAACUGGUAAACUUGAGUACAGUAGGGGUAAGUGGAAUUCCAAGUGGAGCGGUGGAAUGCGUAGAUAUUUGGAGGAACACCAGUGGCGAAGGCGGCUUACUGGGCUGGAACUGACGCUGAGGCACGAAAGCGUGGGGAGCAAACAG